AUCACUUCUUGGCCUUUCAGCUAAGAGCAUGUGUAGUUUUUUUUUUUUAUCAAUUUACUAUCUGAUAUGUCAUCUAACUGUGGAUGAAAUAGAUUUUUGACAUAUGGAGGUAAAAUAGGAGCUUUGCUCUGUUCCUUACAUGCAACCACAUGUUUCUGAUUGCAGUACUGCAGGAAUAGCACCCCCC